CGAGACGACGCUGGCGGCGUGCCUAAUACAUGCAAGUAGAACGCUGAAGGAGGAGCUUGCUUCUCCGGAUGAGUUGCGAACGGUGAGUAACGCGUAGGUAACUGCUGGUAGCGGGGGAGUAACUAUUGAAACGAUAGCUAUACCGCAUAAGAGUAGAUGUUGCAUGACAUUUGCUUAAAAGGUGCAAUUGCAUCACUACCAGAUGGACCUGCGUUGUAUUAGCUAGUUGGUGGGGUAACGGCUCACCAAGGCGACGAUACAUAGCCGACCUGAGAGGGUGAUCGGCCACACUGGGACUGAGGCACGGCCCAGACUCCUACGGGAGGCAGCAGUAGGGAAUCUUCGGCAAUGGACGGAAGUCUGACCGAGCAACGCCGCGUGAGUGAAGAAGGUUUUCGGAUCGUAAAGCUCUGUUGUAAGAGAAGAACGAGUGUGAGAGUGGAAAGUUCACACUGUGACGGUAUCUUACCAGAAAGGGACGGCUAACUACGUG
rnacentral:rRNA from 1 species